AUUGAACGCUGGCGGUAUGCUUAACACAUGCAAGUCGAACGGUAACAGGCCUUCGGGCGCUGACGAGUGGCGGACGGGUGAGUAACGCGUAGGAAUCUGCCUCAUAGUGGGGGACAACGGGUGGAAACGCACGCUAAUACCGCAUACGCCCUACGGGGGAAAGCGGGGGACCUUCGGGCCUCGGGCUAUGAGAUGAGCCUGCGUUAGAUUAGCUAGUUGGUAGGGUAAAGGCCUACCAAGGCGACGAUCUAUAGCUGGUCUGAGAGGACGAUCAGCCACACUGGGACUGAGACACGGCCCAGACUCCUACGGGAGGCAGCAGUGGGGAAUAUUGGACAAUGGCGCAAGCCUGAUCCAGCAAUACCGCGUGUGUGAAGAAGGCCCUAGGGUUGUAAAGCACUUUCAAUAGGGAGGAAAACCUGUCGGUCAAUACCCGGCAGCUUGACAUUACCUAUACAAGAAGCACCGGCUAACUCCGUGCCAGCCGCCGCCGUAAAAC
rnacentral:rRNA from 1 species